UACUUCACUCCUGUUGCCUCUCCCAGUGAGUUUGUGACUUUGUAUGAGAAAGUCAUGGCCUUUCUGAGUGAGGAUAACAGUGAUGUUGUCUUCAUGCUGCUGACAAAGUUCGACCUUACACAGUGGUUAAGCGUAACUAAGCCACCUUUAUCUGAACGUACCAGGCUCCUGGAAUCUAUUCACUUGGCUCUCAGUGCACGUGGCCUUGAACCUGAAGAAGAUAUUUAAAUGCCCUUUAAUAUCUUCUGCAAGCAUUGGACUAACCUUCUCCAGUAUUAGUUCCCUGAUCACUAUAAUGACUUCUUAAGAUUGUUCAUGCAAAGCUCUUCAGAGCAGCUUCUGAGCCCUGACUGCUGGAAGAUAUUGCUGGAAGCUCUGGGCUGUGGCUCCUUGGGGACUGAACAGGGAAGUGUCAAAAGGAGGG